rnacentral:rRNA from 1 species
GACGAACGCUGGCGGCGUGCUUAACACAUGCAAGUCGAACGGUGAAGCGCCUUCCUUUUUGGUGGGUGUGGAUGAGUGGCGAACGGGUGAGUAACACGUGAGUAACCUGCCCCCUUCUUCUGGAUAACCGCAUGAAAGUGUGGCUAAUACGGGAUAUUCUGGGUCUGUCGCAUGAUGGGUCUGGGAAAGAUAUUGUUUCGGUGGGGGAUGGGCUCGCGGCCUAUCAGCUUGUUGGUGGGGUGAUGGCCUACCAAGGCGGUGACGGGUAGCCGGCCUGAGAGGGUGGACGGUCACACUGGGACUGAGACACGGCCCAGACUCCUACGGGAGGCAGCAGUGGGGAAUAUUGCACAAUGGGCGCAAGCCUGAUGCAGCGACGCCGCGUGAGGGAUGGAGGCCUUCGGGUUGUGAACCUCUUUCGCCAGUGAAGCAGGCCUGCCUCGUCUGUGGGUGGGUUGACAGUAGCUGGAUAAGAAGCGCCGGCUAACUACGUG